CCUACGGGGGGCAGCAGUGGGGAAUAUUGCACAAUGGGGGAAACCCUGAUGCAGCGACGCCGCGUGAGUGAAGAAGUAAUUCGUUAUGUAAAGCUCUAUCAGCAGGGAAGAAAAUGACGGUACCUGAGUAAGAAGCCCCGGCUAACUACGUGCCAGCAGCCGCGGUAAUACGUAGGGGGCAAGCGUUAUCCGGAUUUACUGGGUGUAAAGGGAGCGUAGACGGCAGUGCAAGUCUGGAGUGAAAGGGGGGGGCUCAACCCCCGGACUGCUCUGGAAACUAUACGGCUGGAGUGCAGGAGAGGUAAGUGGAAUUCCUAGUGUAGCGGUGAAAUGCGUAGAUAUUAGGAGGAACACCAGUGGCGAAGGCGGCUUACUGGACUGUAACUGACGUUGAGGCUCGAAAGCGUGGGGAGCAAACAGGAUUAGAUACCCUGGUAGUC
rnacentral:rRNA from 1 species